AUGUGAAAGAAUGGCAGCCUUGCAGUCUUCAUUUCAUUAACUUUAUAAGCUUUAGAAACUGGAUAAGAACAUGCAGGGUUCUGGGUGAUUAAGAACCGUGGUUGGUAAUUACUCUUGAUCUCGAUGUUUCUUGAAUUUCUGUUAAAUUUUUUAACUCUUGCAUGGUGGAGUACUUACCUAGAGAUUGUACUCAUGUUGAAUGUAUUAUUUCUG
rnacentral:lncRNA from 1 species